CGAGGUGUAGCUCAGCUUGGUAGAGCGCUACGUUCGGGACGUAGAGGCCGUGGGUUCGAGUCCCGUCACCUCGACCA
rnacentral:tRNA from 1 species